CUUUUCAGAGUGUAGUCCUUUGCCAGAUUUUCUUUGUUUCUGUCUUUUGUGGUUUGGUUUGACUUUUAAUUUCCUUGGGGUUGCUCUACAGAUGGAGAAAGUAGUGCUCAAAGAGUGAAUUUUGCACUGACUUCUCAAAAUUAUUUCUGAUGGGAACAGUAGUGUUCAUCUCUUCCUUCAUGUUGUUUCCGACAGCCAGAGGACGGUUUCAUCUGAGGAGCAACACAAUCUGGAGAAGAAGCUGUAGCUGGUGCUUUUCUGGGCAGUAGAUGUAUGAGAUUGUGCUAAGGUGAAAGAGACAAAAAACCAAAACAGCUGGAGGUUUUGAUAUUUAACGCAGCAUCCCUAGCAUCAUCUGGACUGCAUUAAGGUGUAUUACGGUGGAUCUAAAAGUGAUAUAAGAAAGAAUUGCUUUUGGGAGGAGAAGUCUCCCUGCAAGGCCAGCUCUGAAGAUGU
rnacentral:lncRNA from 1 species